rnacentral:rRNA from 1 species
AUCCCGGGACCACGAACUUCCGUUAAUUGAUUAUGACGUGCUUGCACUGAAUGAGAUUUUAACACGAAGUGAGUGGCGGACGGGUGAGUAACACGUGGCUAACCUGCCCAGAAGCAGGGGAUAACACCUGGAAACAGAUGCUAAUACCGUAUAACAGAGAAAACCGCCUGGUUUUCUUUUAAAAGAUGGCUCUGCUAUCACUUCUGGAUGGACCCGCGGCGCAUUAGCUAGUUGGUGAGGUAACGGCUCACCAAGGCGAUGAUGCGUAGCCGACCUGAGAGGGUAAUCGGCCACAUUGGGACUGAGACACGGCCCAGACUCCUACGGGAGGCAGCAGUAGGGAAUCUUCCACAAUGGACGCAAGUCUGAUGGAGCAACGCCGCGUGAGUGAAGAAGGGUUUCGGCUCGUAAAGCUCUGUUGUUAAAGAAGAACGUGGGUGAGAGUAACUGUUUACCCAGUGACGGUAUUUAACCAGAAAGCCACGGCUAACUACGUGCCAGCAGCCGCGGUAAUACGUAGGUGGCAAGCGUUAUCCGGAUUUAUUGGGCGUAAAGCGAGCGCAGGCGGUCUUUUAAGUCUAAUGUGAAAGGCUUCGGCUCAACCGAAGAAGUGCAUUGGAAACUGGGAGACUUGAGUGCAGAAGAGGACAGUGGAACUCCAUGUGUAGCGGUGAAAUGCGUAGAUAUAUGGAAGAACACCAGUGGCGAAGGCGGCUCUCUGGUCUGUAACUGACGCUGAGGCUCGAAAGCAUGGGUAGCGAACAGGAUUAGAUACCCUGGUAGUCCAUGCCGUAACGAUGAUUACUAAGUGUUGGAGGGUUUCCGGGCUUCAGUGCUAUGGCAUUU